rnacentral:rRNA from 1 species
GAUGAACGCUGACAGAAUGCUUAACACAUGCAAGUCUUUGGCGAAGCUGUGCUUGCACAGCCUAGCCAAGGCGGACGGGUGAGUAACGCGUAAGGAACUUGCCCUGCAGUCAGGGAUAACAGACGGGAACGACUGAUAAGACCUGGUAAAGUCAGGCGGACUCAUGUCCAGCCUGAUGAAAAGAGAUGCUGCAGGAGAGCCUUGCGUCCUAUUAGCUUGUUGGUGGGGUAACGGCCCACCAAGGCGAUGAUAGGUAGCCGGCCUGAGAGGGUGGACGGCCACAAGGGGACUGAGAUACGGCCCUUACUCCUACGGGAGGCAGCAGUGGGGAAUAUUGGACAAUGGGGGCAACCCUGAUCCAGCAAUUCUGUGUGCACGAUGAAGGUUUUCGGAUUGUAAAGUGCUUUCAGCAGGGAAGAAAAAAAUGACGGUACCUGCAGAAGAAGCGACGGCUAAAUACGU